rnacentral:miRNA from 1 species
AAGCCAGAAUGCUCUAUUAAAUUUAAAUUUCAGUUAAACAACAAGUAAUUAUUUUAGUAUAAUAUAGGUAUUCCAUGAAUAUUUGGGACAUAUUUAUACUAAAAAAUUAUUCUUUGUUUAUCUGAAAUUCAAAGUUAACUGGGCAUCCUGAAUUUU